ACUUCGCUCGUGUCGCUCUUCACGCAGGCUGUUCUCUUUGUCUUGUCUCUGGCCGGGUCGGCGUCCACCAAGGAUAUACUGGAUCUUACUAGUCUGCCAAUACCAACGCGAAGAAUCGUCAGAUAACACAAUCAGGAACAUGGAAUUAAAUACAAAGCAGGCAUAAAAUACUCAUGUAAUUGCGCUUGGAGAAAUCACAUUCCAAAACAAAAGCUGCGUCACCUGGUGUAAUUAACUCAUCAUCGUGCUGGAUGACUAGGGUGUUUUUGUACUUAUCAUGAAACUGUAAUAUGUCGCAUUGAUCAAAGGGAAUGUUCAGAGUGAAAUUCCCACCGUGAGCUGGAUCUAAAAAACAAGGAGCCUGUCUUGAAUAGAAACUACCUU